rnacentral:lncRNA from 1 species
GGUCGCAUAUCCUAACACUAAUCACACCUAAGCACAUAUAACAACCAAAGUGUCAGAGAAUUGUGUUGGCGGUAUUUAAGAUCCCAUUAGAGACUCGUCAUCAUUGAUGUGGAUUGGCCACUACCAUAUUGAAUACAUAGGUGUGACUCUGAUACCACUUGUAAUAUUCAACUACUAUUAUAUGUUUAUAUUCGAGAUUUUUAGCUAUAAAUGAAAUUAAAGUGGAAAAACGAUUAG